rnacentral:rRNA from 1 species
AGUAGUUUGAUCAUGGCUCAGAACGAACGCUGGCGGCAUGCCUAACACAUGCAAGUCGAACGAACCCUUCGGGGUUAGUGGCGCACGGGUGCGUAACACGUGGGAAUCUGCCCUUUGCUUCGGAAUAACAGUUAGAAAUGACUGCUAAUACCGGAUGAUGUCGUAAGACCAAAGAUUUAUCGGCAAAGGAUGAGCCCGCGUAGGAUUAGGUAGUUGGUGGGGUAAAGGCCUACCAAGCCGACGAUCCUUAGCUGGUCUGAGAGGAUGAUCAGCCACACUGGGACUGAGACACGGCCCAGACUCCUACGGGAGGCAGCAGCGGGGAAUAUUGGACAAUGGGCGAAAGCCUGAUCCAGCAAUGCCGCGUGAGUGAUGAAGGCCUUCGGGUUGUAAAGCUCUUUUACCAGGGAUGAUAAUGACAGUACCUGGAGAAUAAGCUCCGGCUAACUCCGUG